UAUAGUGUGGUUAGCUCGGUUGGACGGUUUCGAACCGGUUUUCGAGUCCAGGCGGGCACACGGGUCUUAGGGGCCUGGAGGGCUGGGACAGUUAGCGGCGCAGGAGGAAUACCAUGGAGCGGGAGGAACGAGGGAAGCAAAAAGGGGCAAAAAGCAGCAAGAGCUAAUUCCAAUUCGAGCUGGCUUCUAAUCUACUAGCUGUUGUCGCGUGACGUUUUCGAACUCGAAUCCUGGCGUCGUUCGCUGAUGGUUGUGUGUGCUGGUCUCGUCGUGUGGGGCUGUGUGUACGAGAGGAGAUGACGCGAAUGGCAUGUUUGUCAACACCCCGUUGUCCUGCAAAAAGUGAAAUGGGAUGCACACCCCAAAAACCCAAAACCAUUGUGGCAGCAUCGUGCAGAUGCUUCCGGUUUCCGCUAGAGGGCAGUCACCAAUCGGGGCUCGAAGGGAGAGUUAGUGAACAAAAAGCAAUGGGGGAAAGUGGAAGUGAUUCGGGCCGUAAAGGAGUCGAAAUGAAGUGAAGCGUGUUGUUUUGUUUGUUUUUUUUUGUUUGUUUGUUAUUAUUAAUGUAUUACUCUCCAGGUUCGGUUUUAUUGCUUACUUACAAACGUAUAAAAACAUACAUAUAAUUAGUCGCCGAUCGCGCAGCAAUAGUGACAAAGGUGUGGAGAGAAGGUUUUGUUGGUUAAAGCGCGAUUAAAUCAUCCUUAAGUGUACCACACAAUGUGUGUGUGUAAGUGUUGGUGUUUAAUUUGUUAAUAAAUAAGUCUUACAAUCUAAUAACACGGCAAGCUGUAACAACGGGAAAAGCGUUGGGGGGUACGCGAUCGAACCCUCGAUCGUAUUGUUAUUGCUCUAAGCCUAAGUCCGAUCGGAUCGAUUGCACUCUACUCUACAAUGCUACUCGGUGUGUUGGUGUACUCGCAGCUAAGCUUAGCAUAUUGUCCUGUUCGAUACAGUGAGCUCCGAACUUCUUCGACCAAAACACGCACCUGCAGACCUCUCCAAUGAAUUGGAGGGUGUACAGCGGCAAGCAGCAAGAACAAGGAAGCAGUAGUUAUAAGUGGUAGCAGUAGCAGCAGUACACGCAACAGCAUGCAACUGGUUCGUGCGUUGCAGCACAGCGUGUACUAAAUAUCCUCCGCAAAGCUGACAAGAUAAGUAUAUUGUUUCUGGGGCGCUUGUUAUCGUUGUUACCACAGUUGCUGCAGCGGAAAUUUAUUGGUUAGGCUGUUUUUCCUUCGAGACGGGGCCUGAGUAGCCGAAAGCAAAAUUACAAAAAAAAAACAACCAAGAACAACGUCAGCACACAAGCACACAAAUCUAUUAACGCUCUUGCCAGGCGCCAUUAUGCGAUUUCGAAAGCGUGUAGCGUGCCUUUGACUUUGCCCAGAACGUUCGGGGUCAUUCGCCCGGUUGUACUGCGGUCAAACAGGUUUUACCAGGCUGUAGGAGCACGAGUCUACGCAGCCAGGAAAUCGCAGGCAGGGGUUAAAGGAUGGCAAUGGAUUGCAAAUGGCAUACACGAAACAAAGGCGCGAAUCUAUUUUUACCAAAUUUUUAAAACAAAUUGUAAUUGGGCGUUAAUGUGCUGGUUUGUGUGUGUGUGUGUGUGUGUGUGGCGGUUGUUGUUGAUGUCAUAAACAAGCUCAUGUACGCAUCCAAACUGCAACCACCAUCUUGAGGACGCUGCAGCACAUUUGGACACAGGCGAUGCCGGAUUGGUGCAAACUGGCCGUGAGGAGGCCCUAUCGAUAUCGACGGCAGGUCGGUGGUGGUAACUACUCUUCCCUACGCUACGCUACGUCAGCAUCUUUAGACAUUGUACAUUCGGGCUAGUGCAUACAUCGGCGUCAACAACAAGUCGGUCUCGACACAACAACGCUAAAGUGUAGAUCAAACGAACCGGGACAGGUGUGACAGCAAUGCGGCACACGGCAAAUGGCAUCAUCGUCCAAAAACACGCCAGAAGCUCGAUCCGCGUGGGUAGCGUCAUUGUUGUAUUGAAAGGAACUGAGUCAACAACUGACCCACCUGUGAGAUGGAGAUGUCCCUACUAAGUUUACGCGAUGAUUCAUGCACGGAACGCGGGAAAUCCGGAGAAGGUUCUAGAAUAUUUCUGCAUCGCCUAAAGGCUCCUGCCCCAAUGCUCGAGAGGAUCGAAGUUUGUUGAUCGAUUUGUACACUAAUCAAGAUCGCAGCAACGCUGUCUCUUCUAUUUCCAACAUCUGCACCAUAGCAACAAUGUUACCUAUCUCUCGACAAUCGUUCAUCUUUCAUUCGAAAAUUUCUCUUGGUACGUGCUACGUGCAGCAGUACCCGAUAGGAACGAUUAUUCUCUCGAACGGCAGUUUCUUGCAUACGUCCCUCCUCUUGCCAUAUCACCCCGCCGGGGGCUAACGAAAUCUAUUUUAGUAAUGAAAUCUUUAUUGCUAAUUAUUCAGCUCGAAGAAGCACUAGACGCCGCACAAAGUUUGAAGCAUUCUGAAGGGGAAAGGGGUGGGUUUACAUUGUUUUCCUGCUCGCUCCUUCUGCUGUCCUAUCUUCUGAUCUUCCUAAACUGAAUCCGUUCCGUUCAAUUGCCAUCUUUUUUUGCGCGCUUUUCAAUGAUUUUCUGCUCUGCAAGGGUUAAGAAGUGUGUACUACUCACUAUCUCGCCUCACUUGGACCUCAGUAGCAUCGCUUCCUAUCCUCUCCAAAGUGUAUCUUUUGCACGGCUUCGAAGUGAUCAAUACCAAACCUUCAAGGUAAGUAACGAGCCUCAUAAAUCCAAUGUUCUGGUUUAUAUCUUUCAUACGCAAUAAAGUAAACUACCGAGCUUCGUAAAGCUAAACACGCACCAAAAAGAACAACAAAUCGAAACCUUUAAUUACGCUAGCCGUCUUCACUCAUCAUCCGAAAAUCAAUCGAAAGAAACCCCUUUCCAAAGAAAUGAAAA